UACGGGGGGGGCAAGCGUUGUUCGGAUUUACUGGGCGUAAAGCGCACGUAGGCGGAUCGAUCAGUCAGGGGUGAAAUCCCAGAGCUCAACUCUGGAACUGCCUUUGAUACUGUCGAUCUGGAGUAUGGAAGAGGUGAGUGGAAUUCCGAGUGUAGAGGUGAAAUUCGUAGAUAUUCGGAGGAACACCAGUGGCGAAGGCGGCUCACUGGUCCAUUACUGACGCUGAGGUGCGAAAGCGUGGGGAGCAAACAGG
rnacentral:rRNA from 1 species